rnacentral:rRNA from 1 species
GGGGUAAAAGCCUACCAAGGCCACGAUCAGUAGCCGACCUGAGAGGGUGAUCGGCCACAUUGGAACUGAGACACGGCCCAAACUCCUACGGGAGGCAGCAGUGGGGAAUCUUCCGCAAUGGACGAAAGUCUGACGGAGCAACGCCGCGUGAGUGAUGACGGCCUUCGGGUUGUAAAGCUCUGUCUUCAGGGACGAUAAUGACGGUACCUGAGGAGGAAGCCACGGCUAACUAC